UGGUAACACUGGUGUGUUAUGGUUACACUCGUGUGUUAUGGUAACUCUGGUGUGUUAUGGUAACUCUGGUGUGUUAUGGUCACACUCGCGUGUUAUGGUAACAGUGGUGUGUUAUUGUGACACUGGUGUGUUAUUGUAACUCUGGUGUGUUAUGGUAACACUGGUGUGUUAUGGUAGCACUGGUGUGUUAUGGUAACUGUGAGGGAAAAGUAGGUGUAAGUGGGGUUAAGGUUGUUCGGGCAACCAGGAAACAUUAGUUACGUCGCGUGCACCCCCCCCCCCUCCUCUCUGGCGGGCUGGGGCGAAACUAAUUCCUGGUGUCCGAUUUGUUAGUUUCUACUCCUGGUAAUAUUGACCUUACCUGGUGUGGGUUGAAGUUUGGAGAGUCACUUCACCUCCACUCUUCUCCUAAUCAGCUCUGUUCCUGGCGUGGUCUUCCAGGAUAGACGCCAGAUAAAGGAGCAAGACGUGUUAAUAAUACUUAUUAACAAUAUUCUACUACUACCGGCCCUUACCUAUUCUACUUGUGCUCCAUCCAAGUGGUAGGAGAUUCCAGAACAUCGGAUUGUUACCAUCUGCCCCAGGAUAACCCACAUAAAUAACAUCAGAGGAACUAUCCAGGGCCAUACCUACUCCUGCCCAACUAAAAGAAACUGAAGGCCAAUUUUUUUUAUUAUAUUUAAAUUUUAAGUAAAAUUCUCAAAAAUCA